UACGGAGGGGACUAGCGUUGUUCGGAAUUACUGGGCGUAAAGCGCACGUAGGCGGAUUUGUAAGUCAGGGGUGAAAUCCCGGGGCUCAACCUCGGAACUGCCUUUGAUACUGCAAAUCUCGAGUCCGGAAGAGGUGAGUGGAAUUCCUAGUGUAGAGGUGAAAUUCGUAGAUAUUAGGAAGAACACCAGUGGCGAAGGCGGCUCACUGGUCCGGUACUGACGCUGAGGUGCGAAAGCGUGGGUAGCAAACGGG
rnacentral:rRNA from 1 species